rnacentral:rRNA from 1 species
GACGAACGCUGGCGGCGUGCCUAACACAUGCAAGUGGAGCGACGAACCAGGGCUUGCCCUGGGGCGAAGCCGCGAACGGGUGAGUAACACGUGGGUAACCUGCCCCGAUGACUGGGAGUAACCCGACGGAAACUACGGGCGUAAUACCGGAUGUGCCCUACCGGCUCAAGCCGGCAUGGGAAAGGAAGCUUCGGCCUCCGCAUCGGGAGGGGCCCGGCGGCCCAUUAGCUUGUUGGUGAGGUAAAGGCUCACCAAGGCAACAAUGGGUAGCUGGUCUGAGAGGACGAUCAGCCACACUGGGACUGAGACACGGCCCAGACUCCUACGGGAGGGCAGCAGUGGGGAAUCUUGCGCAAUGCGCGAAAGACGUGACGCAGCAACGCCGCGUGGGGAAGAA